rnacentral:lncRNA from 1 species
ACCCCACACACAUCACACACCAGAUACACAACAUACACAUCACACACACCACACAGACACACACCACAGAUAUGCCACACUGCACACACAUCAUACACCACACACACACCACACACCACAUGCACCACAGAAACAUCACACACCACACAUAUACCACACACCCCACAUUCCACACACCCCACACAUCACAUAAACACCACACACACACCACUCACAUCACACACCACAUAUACCACACACAUCACAUAUACAACACACACACACACCACACACACUAUACACGGUACACUGUACACCACACACCACACACACAUCACACAUCACAUAUACACCACACACACACCACAUUCAUCACAGAAACCCCACACACCACACAUAUACCACAGACACACACCACACACGUCACAGACACACCACACACACCACACCCAUCACAGAAACCCCACACACCACACAUAUACCACAGACACACACCACACACGUCAGAGACACACCACACACACCACACCCAUCACAGAAACCCCACACACCAUAUGUAUACCACACACACACCACACACGUCACAGAAACCCCACACACCACACAUAUACCACACAUACACCACACCACACACACAUCACACACCACAUAUCCAACACACACACCCCACACACCACACAUAUCAAAU